rnacentral:rRNA from 1 species
UACAGGGGGGCAAGCGUUGUUCGGAAUUACUGGGCGUAAAGGGCUCGUAGGUGGCCAACUAAGUCAGACGUGAAAUCCCUCAGCUUAACUGGGGAACUGCGUCUGAUACUGGAUGCUUGAGUUUGGAGAGGGAUGCGGAAUUCCAGGUGUAGCGGUGAAAUGCGUAGAUAUCUGGAGGAACACCGGUGGCGAAGGCGGCAUCCUGGACCAACACUGACACUGAGGAGCGAAAGCCAGGGGAGCAAACGGG